GAUGAACGCUGGCGGCGUGCCUAAUACAUGCAAGUCGAGCGAAUGGAUUAAGAGCUUGCUCUUAUGAAGUUAGCGGCGGACGGGUGAGUAACACGUGGGUAACCUGCCCAUAAGACUGGGAUAACUCCGGGAAACCGGGGCUAAUACCGGAUAACAUUUUGAACCGCAUGGUUCGAAAUUGAAAGGCGGCUUCGGCUGUCACUUAUGGAUGGACCCGCGUCGCAUUAGCUAGUUGGUGAGGUAGCGGCUCACCAAGGCAACGAUGCGUAGCCGCCCCGGGAGGGUGAUCGGCCACACUGGGACUGAGACACGGCCCAGACUCCUACGGGAGGCAGCAGUAGGGAAUCUUCCGCAAUGGACGAAAGUCUGACGGAGCAACGGCGCGUGAGUGAUGAAGGCUUUCGGGUCGUAAAACUCUGUUGUUAGGGAAGAACAAGUGCUAGUUGAAUAAGCUGGCACCUUGACGGUACCUAACCAGAAAGCCACGGCUAACUACGUGCCAGCAGCCGCCGUAA
rnacentral:rRNA from 1 species